UCCACAGAUGUAUUGUUGAAGGGAAAAAUGAGUAUUUUAGUGUGUCGCAACGCGAAAAGAAUGGUGCGAUACAUUUUUCAUGGUUAGUUCGACUGGAGUGACGUCCGGGGGGCACCAAGUAGUCGGAUUUUGUCAUGUUUAUCAGGUCAUGGCACAGAAGGUAAAGGAACUUCAAACAGGCCAACCUCCUCCGACCAGCAAGUGUCGGUAUGCCUGCUUGUGUGCGAAGCGCGGUUACCCUGUCGUACCUUGAAUACUUUGUGUAAAUGAAUCGGAGCGCCCUGCUUUGGAUCUUUUCUAAUGCCAAGUUUAAAUACUUUUGAUGCGGGUUACAUACUAUGCUGCCGUAUUCUAAUAUCGGCCUAACCAGUGUUUUAUAAGCAGUUAAUUUCACCGAGGUGGGGGCUGUUGCUAGCUUUCUUCGUAAAAAUCCGAGUUGUUUGAACGCGAGUGCGCAAACAUUAUUGAUAUGUACGUCCCAUUUCAGCGAUCUUGUUAUUGUGACACCUAGAUAUUUGAAUGAGUCUACUCGUUCCAAGGAAGUAUUACUUAGUUUAUAUGUGAAAUUUAAGGGCUCUUUCUUACGUGUUGCAGUCAUACACCUGGUUUUCUGUGUGUUAAUUUGCAUGCCCCAUUUUUCGCAUCAGGCAACAAUGUUUUGUAGAGACUUAUUAAGUUUUGUCUGUUCAUCGGCUGUUCUAACAGUUGUGUAUAUGACGCAGUCGUCCGCAAAAAGCCUUAUUGUGACCCCUGGUUCCAUACCUGUAUACAAGUCGUUAAUAUAUAAAAGAAAAAGAGUUGGCCCCAGAACCGAUCCCUGUGGCGCACCAGAAAGAACAUCAAGAUAGUCCGAUUCAGUAUUGUUUACGCAAACAAACUGGGACCGAUUCGAGAGGUAGGCUUCGAUCCAUGAAACAGUCUUGGGAUUAAUACCAAUUGAUUUAAGUUUGAAGAUUAGUAAACUGUGUGGAACGCGGUCGAAUGCCUUCGAAAAAUCGACAAAAAUUGCGUCAGCUUGCAGUCUUGAAUCGAUUGUUACAGCAAAGUCGUGUAUAAUUUCUAAAAGUUGAGUUACAGUUGAAAGCCCUUGCCUGAAGCCAUGUUGUCUGAAGUAUAAUAGGUUAUUUUCUUCCAGAUAAGUUACAAUAGCUUUAUUUGUUAUAUGUUCCAUUAGUUUGCAACAUGUGCUGGUUAGGGAUAUUGGCCUGUAUGUGUCAAGAAGCAGCUUGUUCCCACCUUUAUGAAUUGGCACGACCUUUGCGCACAGCCAGUCCGCGGGAAGCACUGCCGUUUCAAGUGAUGCCCUGAAAAUUUUAUGCAGGAAGGGGGACAACUGACCCGCGUAUCGCUUGAGAAAAGUGCUUGAUAAAUUAUCAGGGCCAGGCGAUUUUUUAACGUCUAUCUGUAGCAGCAAAUUCAAAAUGCCGGACUCUGUUAUCAGGAUUUCAGGCAUUGCCGAGUCAUACUCUGAUAAGGGCAUAUUAGGGGCGUGGGCACGGGAGAAUACCGACUGAAAAUAUGUAUUGAACGAGUUAACGAUGGUGCGCGCAUCCUCAACCACUAUACCGGCAAUUUCCAAUUUGAUUGGAGGACUUUCCGGUUUUGACAGAUACCGCCAGAAUUUCCGAGGCUGAUUUGUCAUGAAUUCAAGUAUUGGAAAAAAAGUUGUCUCUCGCGCUUCUUAACCUUUCUUUCAGUUCUCGUGAAAGCUGACUAACCAUAGGGGGAUUAUGUUUUUUCUUGCGCAUCCUUUGAACCCUUCUUUUGAGGUGUAUGAUAGUUCUUGUAAUCCACGGCGACCUCCGCUUUAUCUUUUUUUAGCUUGGUAGGAAUGAAAUUACUUUCACAGUGCGAAAUCCCAUUUUUAUUUUUCAACCAUAGGUCGUUGGCGUCCAACGUACCAUCGUCAAAAUCAUCUUCCAUAAUUCCUAAAAAAUCAAUGAUGCUUUCAUCAUUAGCCCUUGUGUAAUUCUUAACCAAAAUUCUGGUGUCAGUACUAGAGGGCCUUACACCCAUGCCAAGAUCGUCAACCGUCAGUAAAAUCAUUUUAUGGUCGGAUAUACCCGGUUCUAUGCUAACUUCAGGGGUUAAAGAUGUGGACACAAAGACAAGGUCUAGCACUGAGCACACUUGCCCUUGGACGCGAGUUGGUUCAUGCACAAGUUGAGCUAGCGAGAAGGUCUGCAUGAUAUCAAAAAGAAGAUCACAACUUUUGACUUCUUUGUUGCCGAUUAACAAGGUAUCCCAAUCAAUGCCCCCUAAGUUGAAGUCUCCAGCUAGAAUUAAUUUCGUUCUUUGGUUGGUGUGGUUAUAUAAGAAGUCAUACAGUUCUACAAGGUAACUGUCCGGCGCGCCUGGUCGCCUGUAAACACCACCUAUUAGUAAAUUGACAUCAUUGACCUUUAUUGUACACCAGACGCUCUCAUGAUCAGUAAUGCCAGUUUCUCGGUGGACAAACAAAUGCCACUUAACAGCAAUAGCAACGCCUCCACCACGACCGUCCCGAUCUGUGCGCAGAAAUGCAUAGGAGGGAGGAACCACCUCAGAAUCAUGUAUAUCCGAGUUCAACCACGUCUCUGUAAUUACGAUUAUAUCUGGGCCAUACAACAGCAGCAGUUCCUCAAGCUUUUCAAGUUUAUUGACAAUGCUUCUCGCAUUAAAGCACAGUAACGUCAGCCGUGCAGUACUUUCUGUUUGUCAUUCAUUGAAAGUGCUAGCGUUCGCUGUCACGUGGGGCUUCGAGCGGUGCAAUGGCUCCAUUUUUUUCUGAUUAUUAUUCCAGACGUACAGAUCUUCAUUAAUCCUUAAUUUGUCAAAAUGUAGGCUGACUUUAUCGCCGUUAUCCCGACAACCUGCCGCGGCUUGCCAUAGCUUUUUGCGUACUGCACGAAUGUCAGCGGAAAAGUCUUCAGAAAUUGAAAUUUUCUUUCCUUUCAAUUUGAAACAGUUGCGAAGUACUGUCAUUUUUUCGGUAAAGUCAUAAAAGCGUAGUAUGAUUGGUCGAUCUCGACCAGGCUUUUUUAAGCCAAUUCGGUGUACGCGUUCCACAGUUCUGACCUGAACGUCUAGAAUAUUAUGCAGUAUAUCUUUUGUUACAAACGAUUCCAAGGCUGCAGGAUUUUCCUUAUCGUGCUCUUUCACGCCAUAUAUGACUAGGUUAUUGCGGCGACUCCUAUUUUCCAGCUCAUCAAUUUUUAUAGUCAUUUGGGCAACUUCACUGCGCAUAGCGUGCACAGUUGCCUCACACUUAUCAACUUUCUCGUGAUAUUGCCUGAGUGACGAGAGGGUCGCUUCGAUUUGUGAAAGCCUCUGCUGCACAUUUGCUAGACCAGUUUCUAAAGUCCAGUGCGAAGUUCGGGUUUCAGUUACAGCCCGCAAUAUUUCAUCUAGUUUAUCGGGGCCCGGAUUUUGCUCUACGUCACCACUCCGUUGCAAUACCAUGAGAAUGACGCGAAAUGAUUCCAAACAACAAAGCAGUGCGCACUGUGGGCUCGGCAGCACUACCAGACAGACAUCAUUGCUCUUAACGCAAGCACAAAAACGCCAUUUGUUACCAACCUGUACGAAGAACAGUACGAAGUAAGUCAUAGUGCUCCGGGCGAUGCUACCGAGCCCACUGAGUUGCGCGCGGCUGCUGGGCUUCCUUUUAAGCUGGUCCACCGAUGUUCCAGGGGUCGCUGGUGAGCCAAAUGAGCGAUCCAGGUGUGACUCAGCCGGUCCUAAAUCCAUGUGACGUGAUCAUGUCGGUAUCAAUGCUGGCGAUACGCCCAGUGCAGUGGAAAUGGGUUGUCGUGUGAACGGCGCCGUUGACGCCAUCGCCUUUGCCGAGGCAGGGAAGGAACCAGCGAUGCAUCCACGUAACCCCAGCUGGAUCUGUACGAAGAACAGUGCGAAGUAAGUCAGAGUGCUCCGGGCGAUGCUAUCGAGCCCACUGAGUUGCGCGCGGCUGCUGGGCUUCCUUUUAAGCUGGUCCACCGAUGUUCCAGGGGUCGCUGGUGAGCCAAAUGAGCGAUCCAGGUGUGACUCAGCCGGUCCUAAAUCCAUGUGACGUGAUCAUGUCGGUAUCAAUGCUGGCGAUACGCCCAGUGCAGUGGAAAUGGGUUGUCGUGUGAACGGCGCCGUUGACGCCAUCGCCUUUGCCGAGGCAGGGAAGGAACCAGCGAUGCAUCCACGUAACCCCAGCUGGAUCUGUACGAAGAACAGUGCGAAGUAAGUCAUAGUGCUCCGGGCGAUGCUACCGAGCCCACUGAGUUGCGCGCGGCUGCUGGGCUUCCUUUUAAGCUGGUCCACCGAUGUUCCAGGGGUCGCUGGUGAGCCAAAUGAGCGAUCCAGGUGUGACUCAGCCGGUCCUAAAUCCAUGUGACGUGAUCAUGUCGGUAUCAAUGCUGGCGAUACGCCCAGUGCAGUGGAAAUGGGUUGUCGUGUGAACGGCGCCGUUGACGCCAUCGCCUUUGCCGAGGCAGGGAAGGAACCAGCGAUGCAUCCACGUAACCCCAGCUGGAUCUGUACGAAGAACAGUGCGAAGUAAGUCAGAGUGCUCCGGGCGAUGCUAUCGAGCCCACUGAGUUGCGCGCGGCUGCUGGGCUUCCUUUUAAGCUGGUCCACCGAUGUUCCAGGGGUCGCUGGUGAGCCAAAUGAGCGAUCCAGGUGUGACUCAGCCGGUCCUAAAUCCAUGUGACGUGAUCAUGUCGGUAUCAAUGCUGGCGAUACGCCCAGUGCAGUGGAAAAGGGUUGUCGUGUGAACGGCGCCGUUGACGCCAUCGCCUUUGCCGAGGCAGGGAAGGAACCAGCGAUGCAUCCACGUAACCCCAGCUGGAUCUGUACGAAGAACAGUGCGAAGUAAGUCAUAGUGCUCCGGGCGAUGCUACCGAGCCCACUGAGUUGCGCGCGGCUGCUGGGCUUCCUUUUAAGCUGGUCCACCGAUGUUCCAGGGGUCGCUGGUGAGCCAAAUGAGCGAUCCAGGUGUGACUCAGCCGGUCCUAAAUCCAUGUGACGUGAUCAUGUCGGUAUCAAUGCUGGCGAUACGCCCAGUGCAGUGGAAAUGGGUUGUCGUGUGAACGGCGCCGUUGACGCCAUCGCCUUUGCCGAGGCAUGGAAGGAACCAGCGCUGCAUCCACGUAACCCCAGCUGGAUCUGUACGAAGAACAGUGCGAAGGGUCGCUGAUGAGCCAAAUGAGCGAUCCAGGUGUGACUCAGCCGGUCCUAAAUCCAUGUGACGUGAUCAUGUCGGUAUCAAUGCUGGCGAUACGCCCAGUGCAGUGGAAAUGGGUUGUCGUGUGAACGGCGCCGUUGACGCCAUCGCCUUUGCCGAGGCAGGGAAGGAACCAGCGCUGCAUCCACGUAACCCCAGCUGGAUCUGUACGAAGAACAGUACGAAGAGCUAUGCGUAUCCGUCGACAAUCCAAUCCGACCGUGCGCAUCAACGAGACUGGAGCCAGACGUCAUCGCCGAGCUGAUCCGAGCGGAGGAACGCGACCAAACGCCAGCGACUCGAUGCGGGACCACCUGAAGUGUUGCGCCUCUUCACGUGAUUCCGCGUCGAGUCACUGGCGUAAAACGGCCCAUUAAGUGACAGGUUCAAUCUUCUUGGUCAAACUUCCAGACCUUGUAACUUGCACGGGGAUGUUCACGUAUCGCUGGAAAGUUGUCUCUGCCUCACUCGGUGACAGUUGUGCCUCACUCAAGACCGAAGGUGGAGAUGUCUGACCUGGGCAACCAGGGGACGAUGACCUCCGACCCGCA